rnacentral:lncRNA from 1 species
AUGCUUCACAUAUGCUCUACCAUUAACUCAAAAGCUCAUAUUAUAGGCUCUUGUGAGGUUCAACAUAAGAGCCACCAUCAGGUGGUGCAAGGCGGAGGAUAGUGGUGGUGGUGAUGACGAUGGUGGAAUCAAGUUUUGAGAUGGUGAAGUAGUGAAACUGUCUUUGAAGUUUGAAUAGUCGGGCAACUGCACAAGCUUUGGCAAAAUACAAGAAGAAACUAUCUUUUAUUUCUUUUGAAAAAGUUGAGGAGAAAACUAUAGUCAUGAAAUAUUUUGGUGUAACUUCCUAUACAUUGUUGGUGUAAUCGAAACCUAUUGUAACGGCUUUAGAAGGGCCUCAUGUGUUGUUAUAUGAUCAUUUCAAGAAAUUUUCCAUAGAGAUGCAGCGGGAAACUUGUAUAUGUAUGAAAUAUAAAAGGAGCUGUAUUUUU